rnacentral:lncRNA from 1 species
GGAACUGAAUUAUACCCAGCUUGGAGCGAGAUCAUUAAACCAAGGGUGCUUCCUGAAGUGCUGGAAUUCUGUCGGCAGCCAUUUUGUGCAUGUGUGACUGGAUGGUGCACGGCCUGCUUUGCGCUAAGCUCGUUGUUCCUUCCUGCUCAGACUGCAUAUCCUUUCCAUUUCUUACUGCCAAGCCUGGACACUGCACUGGGGCAGUGGUGGCCGAUGGGACGGGGCAGGAGGGUGCUCUGCAUUCCCGCCAGGUGCUCAGCACCUCACAGCACAGCCGCCUGCCCGCCAGCAUGGAGCCGCGCCAUGGCAAGGCGAGGCUGCAUGUGCAGCAUGUUUACAUUCACAGCUUUGGCUCCCACCGCUGUGGAUCCAUCAUCCGCUAUGACAAGGGCUGCAUGCAGGCUGAGAGGAGCGGGGCUGGGAGCCUGCUUUCCCAGCAGAGCCUCACGGACAGGAGAAGGGGGCAGAGGGCUGCCCGGGUGCUGAGGGAAGAGGCUGACCUUGGGAGGAUGGCUGCUGCUGAUGGGGUGCAGGCCACAGGGAGCUGUGGUGGGGUGAAGCACGUCAGUCUGCACUGUGGUGACCCUCGAGAGGAAAAGGCUGAUGCCUUUGACUUUCCCUUCCCUUCAAGAAAUGUUGAAAAAGUAAUUAAACGAAAGAAGAAGGAGUCCAAAGUCUGGCUUAAAGUCUGGAAAGUAAUUUCAAAAAUGCUUGAAGAAAAUGAAAAGUUCCGACAUCGACUGUUGACUUGCAGUCAGUUCAGUGGAGAAGGCAAUGAUGCGAACCAAAAUUCACAGAAGGGUUCCCCCUGGACAGGGAGUCCAUCUUUGGUUGGGUGUAGCAAGAAAAUAAAGGAAGAUUCAGGCCAAAAGGAAAUAUAAAACUACUGAAAUUGUUUUCAUCUAGAUCUUACUAAAAUUAGUGAGAAGACCACAAAUGAUUUACAUGAGCACUGUUUCUCUGUUGUUUGCUUGGCAUAUAUGUUUCUGCUGUUCAAUAGGUUUGUUUUUAAAGUGGCUUAAAUAGCUUCUUGCAAGAUAUUCGAAGUCAUUAAGUCUGAUAUUUCACUUAGUUAUUAGUUUUUGAAAGCUUUUUAGUGAGUAUAGUAUUGUGACAGUUUGCUUGUAAAAGAAUAAAGAUGCACAUUUAGUGUUGAUGUCUAUUUUA